GGCUCCAUACUGUAGCAGUUUACACAUUUGCUUGGCAUGUGAAAGUUCACUGGUUCAAUUCCAGUUGGAAACA
rnacentral:tRNA from 1 species